GGAAGAAAUUGUUAUCACUGAAGCUAUAUAUGUAACAUGUGUAGUCCAUUGAAACAGAAAACAGCAAGUAUAAAACUUAACUAUCAUCUUUUUAAAAUUAUUAAAUUGAAUUAUAACUGACUGUUUGUAGUCAUCCAUGAUUUUACUGUAUUUGUAUGUAUCAUGUUUUUCUCAUGAUUCAAAUGUAUAUCACCUAUUUAUUUUGUAUUUCCCUCUUUUUUGCCGUUAAAGUUGCAAGAUUGGAAUGUUCAUGUUAUGUAUAGAUAGAAUCAUUUUUAUUACUGCGUAGAAAUUACCAUUUCUUAACGCGCUCAUGUUAUCAAUUGACUGGGUCGGAUUAGUAGUACGGUGACCAGACCCAAUAUUUUUUGGAUUUAAUCGUCAAACAUACUAUAUGGCUAUUUUAUAUAUCAUUGGAUUCGGAAAAAUGAGUACUUUUGAAAUAUCGAUUACGUCAAAAAGAAAUGUGGUGACAGUUUUGCAUAAAGUUAAAAAAGGUCAAAGAUCAAAUUCUGUUUUUCUUUUUUCUUCUUCCAUACUUUUAAAAUUUGAAGAUAUAUACAACAAUUAAGUGUAAAUUUCAGAAUAGACAUUUUUUUCAAAUCAAUUAACAAUGAAUUACCUCGAAAAUGUAAAACAAAAAGAAUUACGAAAUCAUUUAUUCUGAAAAUUGGCGUUUUUCAAACACUUGAUCUAUUAUACACAUAUUCUGUUAAAAUUACAGAAGUUAUCUUGCUGUUUGACAUUCAACGUCAGCAAUAAAGGAUAAUAUACAAUUACUGUCUUUUGAUGAGGUAAAUAUGCGGUUUUAUUGACUUUUGAAAAAAUGAUAUUCACUGAGGCCAACGGCCGAAGUGAAUAUCAGUUUUUCAAAAGUCAAUAAAACCCAAUAUUUACCGAAACAAAAGACAGUAAUUGUUUUAUUCCAUAGUCCGAGAGAAGAAAAUGUAUCUAAUGACAAACAUAUACCAAUUUUUUUUUACAUGAAACAUUUUACCAUAACGUUGCAUGUAAAAGUGCGUGACGUUUAGCGCGGUGAAUAACACUUUCACAGGUGAAUAUGCUUUUUUAUUCAAAAUCCAAUUCAUAUAAAAAAGCCUACUAAAAUAAUACCAAUAUGGAAUAACUAUUAUUAUUUUAACUGACGCCUACUAUCAUGACGGCGUAUUUUGCCUAAGCUCAUUCAUGUAAUUCAUUUAAACUAAAAAGUACUCAAUACCUCGAAAACAGUUGCAAUCAAAAAUCCAAUCAAAGAGAUCCACACAACAGAAUUAUGCCAGAAGUAUCUUUUGGUUCAUCUGUCUAGGAACAUGAUUUGAAAUGUCUACAUAAUUCUGAACUUUCCAGGAGCAAAACUACGGACAUGUAGGGUGUUGUUGUGAACAAACACAUGACUAUUUUACAUGGAGAUUUUCCUUUCAAUGAAAACACAAGAUCCUGUAAGAAUUCUGCUGACAUAUGCCCUUUACAAUACAAGGGGGUGUAAUGAAUCAUUUAUCUAUCGCCAAUCGUAUUGUAAAAUUGACGUAAUAGGGGGUUUAGCAAUGUGUAAUGCGGUCCAAAUUUUUAGUUUGAAACGAAGUACGUAAAACAUGCUGUUCCAGUGCCGCCUCACAGAGAGGUAAUCUGACUAAACUUACAUCUUUACUAGCGGCAAGCUUGAUGCACAUUGGAUAAUAAUUAUAAUGGAAUGGUUUUAAAGAGAUUUUUCUGAUCAUAGAGCUUUGAAAUAAACUUUCAUGAACAAGCAAGGGCUUUAUCUUUGGCAAUAGUAUCGAAACUCUAAACACCACUGAAAUAUUCGUGCGUGUCCUUCAAAGUCUGGUAGAUAGCUUGUUUACCUACUCCAAACAGAGACAAAGUUGUGUCGCAUCCGGUAGGGCAUGUACAGCAGUUAUUAGUUUACAAAUUGUUGGGGAAAACAGACACAUAGUUAGUGAAUGGGUGAAAAUCUCCGUCCAUCCUUUACACUACUAAUGCUCCCCAUCUGCACCCACAACUCGCUUGAAUGUGUCAUAUAUUUAUAGUAGUGAAUACGAACACACAGAACAAACACAUUUGUAUUAGAGGUCUAUAUGCUUGUUCUUCCGCUCUUUCCCAUUUCUCUAAACUUUGUGUCAAAGUUUAAGGCAUUGAGUAUCAGCCUAGGUCUCCUCUUGAGUGCUAAGCAAGUUACUACAGCCAUUAAUAGUUAUCAAAAGUACCAGGAUUAUAAUUUUAUACGCCAGACGCGCGUUUCGUCUACAUAAGACUCAUCAGUGACGCUCAGAUCAAAAUAGUUAAAAAGCCAAAUAAAUACAAAGUUGAAGAGCAUGAGGAUCAAAAAUUCCUAAAAAGUUGUGUCAAAUAUGGGCUAAGGUAAUCUACUCCUGGGUAAGAAAAUCCUUAGUUUUUCGAAAAAUUCAAAGUUUGUAACAGAAAAUUUAUAAAAUGACCAUAUAAUUGAUAUUCAUGUCAACACCGAAGUGCUGACUACUGGGCUGGUGAUACCCUCGGGGACGAAAACGUCCACCAGCAGUGGCAUCGACCCAGUGGUGUAAAUAGUUAUCAAAAGUACCAGGAUUAUAAUUUUAUACGCCAGACGCGCGUUUCGUCUACAUAAGACUCAUCAGUGACGCUCAGAUCAAAAUAGUUAAAAAGCCAAAUAAAUACAAAGUUGAAGAGCAUUGAGGAUCAAAAAUUCCUAAAAGUUGUGUCAAAUAUGGCUAAGGUAAUCUACUCCUGGGGUAAGAAAAUCCUUAGUUUUUCGAAAAAUUCAAAGUUUUCUAAACAGAAAAUUUAUAAAAUGACCAUAUAAUUGAUAUUCAUGUCAACACCGAAGUGCUGACUACUGGGCUGGUGAUACCCUCGGGGACGAAACGUCCACCAGCAGUGGCAUCGACCCAGUGGUGUAAAAUAGUUAUCAAAAGUACCAGGAUUAUAAUUUUAUACGCCAGACGCGCGUUUCGUCUACAUAAGACUCAACAGUGACGCUCAGAUCAAAAUAGUUCAAAAGCCAAAUAAAUACAAAGUUGAAGAGCAUUGAGGAUCAAAAAUUCCUAAAAGUUGUGUCAAAUAUGGCUAAGGUAAUCUACUCCUGGGGUAAGAAAAUCCUUAGUUUUUCGGAUUAACAGUGUUGGUAUAAAUAACUUUGACAAUUUCGGAAUUUACAAACGUUCUGGCUUUGUAAAGCUCACAUCAGGUGGAAUCAUAAGGGAUUUGUCAAAGUUUUGCAGUCAGGAAUACUUCUCCCCUUAAUAAUCUUAUACACUUUGGUGGAAGCUGUAGUCUUUGUGCAGCGUUCCCUAUCGGGAGACUUUAUAGAGUUGUUCAUGUCGUAGCGAUCAAAAACAUCGGCUACUGUGUGCGCUAUAGAAAUUCAUCAGAACAUAUGUUUUAAUAGUCAGCUGCAAAGUCACCGAAUGUUUUACCUUUCUUGAUAUCAAUACAUUGAACCAAUGAUCACCAAUGCCAUACCAUUUCUGAUGUAAGUCGAAAGUCAUGGUACAAAGAAGGGUAUGGAAAGUGCACAAGAGCCUCAGAUUCUAAUUGCUUCGCCAAAUCAGACUAGCAUGAUUUUCUGAUGGUGCCGUCAUCUUGAAAAAAGGAAUUUGAAAUGGGACCUACAGGGUGCGACAGCACAUGUUCUAUGUUAACAUCAUCUCUACAUUUUGCCAAAAUCAGUACACGUCUAAAUACAAGUUAUGGAUUUAUUUGAGCUAAAAGUAUUUCCUCCGAUUUAUAUCUAAUGUUUGUUUUUGUGGUCAUGUUGUAAAACGGUUUUAGUUUUGAAUUUGAUAUUAGACUAUAAAGACUCCUUGCCUGGAUCUGAAGAAAGAGUAAUAGUGAUAAAAUUUUUAGACAUUUCAAAGCCUUCCCAUACAGCUGUGAGCAAAGAAUCUCGAAUAUCUCGUGUAGCAUGCAUUCUAGAAGAGAUGAUAAUAAGACACGGAGGAUGGGAUUCCACAUCAAAGGGAUCAGUCAUGGAUCAUUGAUGGUCCACAAUGGCAAUAACAUGUUCAUCUCUUUUUAUUGCUUUUAGCUUUAUUUCCCCUUGUUAUAAUGCAUUAUUUGCAGCAAUUCCAGCCCUUUUCAGUGUUACACGACUAAGAGAUUCUUAGAAAUGUCUAGAAAGGGUCCAUCUAACAAGCGCAUACUUUUGAUUUGUUAUGCCUACAGUGCCACCUGAUCCCCUCGAGGCUUCUAAAACGGUCUUCCUGUUGCCAUGUCUUUCCAUGAACCAUUGAAAUGUCCAGGAGUUUGUCUGAAACAAAGUAGCCAUCUAUUAAAUUCUCAGAAAGUUGAAGCAUAUCGAGUAUGUAAACUUGUAUACAACUUCAGUAAUUGGUACGGUUUGUUACAAAAAAAUGAGUAUACAUUUGAGAUGACGUUCUCAAGGAAGUGACAAAUUUCCCUCUCGUUCUACUCUAACAUUUGACAGCAAAUGUCUACUGCUUCAAGGAACACAUCCUAGUAUUUGAAUGUAGUGAUACAGCACAUUCCCUUUGCUUAUAUGUAUCUAUAAUAGACUGUAUAUGAUCUUCGACUAGCUCCGUCGUAUAAGCGUUAAAACUUAUAUCUGGUUUGAAUUGCUUAAAUAAUGCUUCUGAUAUAAAUGAAUUUGAUAUUAUUGAUUAAUAAAGGUAUUAGAUAUCAUAUAAAUGUGAAUUAUUUUACAUUUUGCGUUAAAAAAAAAUAUGAAAUUAAAUUGAAACGUACUCUAUUCAAUGCAAAAUAUUCGUAGCAUUAAUCUUUUACAUAAACUCUUAAAUAACGGGUUAAUUUUGCUAAACUUUAUUUGAAAUCGUUAAAAUAAGGUGUCCCAACAAUGUAUAUAAUAACAGAAAUCAUAUCACGAAUGUUAUUUACAACUUAGACAUCAAAACUUUUCUACGUCGAUUUUGUGUUCAAGUUAACUAACGUAUUUCAAAGCCUAUUUUACAAAAAUUGCACCGUACGACUUUUUGACGACAAGUCAAAAUGUUAAGAUUAACCUUUCAACUACCAAUACUGUGAUUUAUAGCCGUAUAGUCCGAAUGACAAUUAAACUCCUUAAAUAAGCGACUUUUCCUUACUCGGUCACCAUACUAUUAGGUGAACGUUCUUCUAUAACAAACAGUUGUCAUAUCGUUCGUGUUACAGAUUGCAUUUUUGUAAAUAUCUACAAUGCUUUUUACCAUAGGAACUCCUUUUACGGCUAGAAAUGUACAACUCUUACUAUGAAGUUUUGAAAAAAAAAUAUAUCAUAGAAUGGAAAGUUGAAAUGCACUACUUUUUUUUCAAAGGUCAAAAUAUAGGACUGUGCUGCAGAUUUUAAACGUUUAUAUGCUCCAAACUGCUACGAGUUUAAAUUUACACUUGAACUCUUUAUUACCAGUACCUGGACUUAUGGGUUCAAAGAGAUUUCAAUUUGACCAAAAUUUAUAUGCAUAUUUACUGGUCACAUUCCCAAGUUAUGUCUAUACAAGAUGAAGCAUAGAGAUCAUGUCUGGCAACCAGUAUGUAAACAAAAUUAAUUAUUUAUGCAUAUUCUAUAUCUCACCAAAGGAGGCGUGGUUUGAGAGACAGCUGAAUUUACAAAGUGUGCGUUCACCAAAGGUUCUCAACGCCUAAUUAAAUAAUACUAAAAACUAGCAAUGGGAAUAAAUAUUGUGUUUUGAUUUAAAUGUUUAAUACUUAAACUUUCUGUGUUUCUUGUCGUGCAUCUGUACGUUACUCUUUUAUUAUAUUUAAAUCCCCAUUGGAAGGCCGGUUAUCGAUAGCCGAUGACAAACAACUUAAAGGUAAAUGAUUCAGUAUUAUUAUCAACAUAAGUAUUGCUGUUGUCUACCCUGUUAUGAAAACGAUUCUCACUGUUCAUAAACUUGGUCAAAAGGUAAAUACAAAUAAAAUUAAAAUUGUCAAACUUUCAUAUUAAAAUAUUUUGUGAAUGAUUGCGUUGGAUAAAACCCACAACUUCUAUACAUAUGCAUUUAACAAAUUUCGUUGUUAAAAUAUAUUUUUUCACUCUUUUGGUCUUUUGGAAAAUGUAGUUUGUGCUGUAUUUAGACCCCUCUUCAACGAAAUUUGUUACAUGCACACGUAUAAAAAUUGCGGUUUUUAUUCAACGCAAUCAUAGGUUUGAACGUUGUUUUCAUUUUAGACUUGUUUUAUAUUUAUUUCGUUUGGGCUUGUAUUAUAUUCUCCCUCCAGUUAACAUAAUCUGUUCAUCCUAUUUUGACUUAUAGAAUUCUAGAGUCUAUUCUUAAUUGAGGUAAAUUAAAUGACAUUGCAAAUACUUUUCGAUCCCUAACAUCAAUGAAGAGACAUUCAUUGUCUAAAUCCGGAUAUGUUAUAAAAAAAAUAGCAUCUCAUUUUGUGGUUUACCAUCUUUGGCGCAAGUUUAUUGUUUUCUACUUGAUAUUGAAUUAAUAUAGAGAUCCAGUUUGUUACACCUUGUGAUCAAUUUAUUUUGCAAUCGUCAUUGGCAGUCAGCAUGGUUUAAGAUUAUCAGUUGUUCGACCUGUUAGUCAAAUGCGUUUUGUUAAAAUAUAUUUUUUUCACUCUUUUGGUCUUUUGGAAAAUGUUGUUUGUACAUAAUUUUAUCUAUAUAUAUAUAAUCUGAUCCUUGGCGAAAAUUGUUUAUGGUUCACCUACAUGAUGUCUCUGCCAUUUAUACAAAGUCUGUUGGAGAUUCAUCACAUUAGCACGAAAUUUUAUUCACUUCCCGUUUCAAAACCUCAUUCUCUGUAAUCUUAUGUUUUAGACCACUGUUUUAAACCCCUUUCAAAUACAAAUGUACAGCUAUUAUCUCGAAUAUAAGUAGUCAUAGACUUUUCAGAUCAGUUCACAUUGGAAAAAUUUAACAUAAUGAAAGAUCCGUUGCACCACAGGCCUCGAUGCUUGAAACAUCAGUAUGUAACUAUCAAUUCUUUAACCUCAACGUGGGUAUAUGGGGUUCUAAUAAAUAUGGCAUAAAGGGUAAACAAAAUAUAAGGAAUACACAUAAAUGAACAAAAAUAUUCAGAACAGAGUAUAAUGAGAUGCUUAAUUAUAAAACAUACAGAUAAAUAGCUAAAAAUUAAAGAAUCCAGAAAAGAAGGACCCCAAAUCAGACCCUCCUAUACCAAACCAAUUGAAACUUAAAUUAUCAAUUACAAACCGUUGGAUGGAUCUCAAUAUAAAUGACUUGAGGUCCUAACUUCCUGAUUACACCUAUGCUAGUUCCCCAAUCAUAUAUUAUCAAGCUUGCCUCGUUAUAAUUGGUUAACUGCCAAUUGUCUUUCUCUGCGUACUGUGUUAUAUUUAAGUCCAAAAUAUCGUGAACCUAAAUCCGUCAUUUGGAAACACAACUUCAAAGUUCUGAUGGAGUCAAUGAAGGAGAAGGCCAUGUCAAAAAAAGUAGAUAGUCUUACCGAAUGAGUUAUAGCUGUGAGGUAAUUGAUACAAAUUAGGGUCUUAAAUACACAAGCUAAGAUCUUUCAAGACUAAACUGUUGCAAAUCAGCUGUCCUGUCUCCUUUGCGAAUAUAUUAUUGUCCCCAUAUAAAGUCCCAAACACCAUCGUUAGUAUGUGUAAAUCACAUUACAUAAUAAAGGUUGAUAAAUGAAUUUGGUAUUUAUAAUUUAUUAGGAAACUCAAUAUACACAGUCCACUACACUUUAAUACUGAAGAGGAAAUAUUGGACAAUCAUAGGCCUGUUAUACGUUCCUUUGGAAUUUCAACCAUAGAUAAAGAACUGGAUUAUCCUUCACUGUAUUUGAUACUUAAGUUACAUAUAAAGUGUCCUUACAAAUCAAAGUGCAAAAAAAAAACUUUCUUAAGUUUUAACAUCAGUUUCACCAGCAAAUUAUGCCGAGCCUCAAAGUUAUUCAGAAACUACUAACCGUAUGGGAUGGCGUGAAUCAGAGGUUGAUACUUACAUAUUUCAAAGAUCUGUUAAAGACAAUGCAAUCUUGCCUCUUACAACAGUAUUAAAAUAUUUGACCUUUAUACCAUUUUCAUAAAUAAUCCCCGUUCACAAUAAUUAAUUUUCAAGUAAUGUUUCGUUAAAAAGGAUGGCAAACGUAUAAACAAGUAUUUUGUUGUAGGGGUGGGAUAAAUCAAACUUUGUAAAAAGGUCACUCUGAUUCAAAUAAAGAACAUGCAUUAUCAAGAUGCUUGAUAUCUCGAUUGACAACGCAUUUGUUACGUUUGAAGGACGUGUUUUAGACAUAUAAUCGACAUUCUUAUGAUAAGCAAAUGCAUGUGCUCCUUUGCAUGCCGACUUAGUAUUUUCGACUUAUGAGUUUGAGUGUCCCUGUGGUAUCUUUUGCCUCUCUUUUACUCUUAUGAGACUGACUUUAUUAAAGAGCAUAUUAGGAACAAUUAAAAGAAGCUAGCAUUAUCCUUUAACGUUACUUUCCGCUAUAUAAAUGGUGUCCUCCAACUACAUAAUUCAAAGUUUGAUGAAUAUGUUGAACGCAUCUUUACCAUGUAACUUUAAAAACAAAAUACAGCAGAUACAGUUAUGUCUACCUAAUAUAUUGGCUUACAUCUAGAAAUUGACAAUGACAAUAGGUCGAAAAUAAAACUUUACAAAAAAAAAAGAUUUCAGCUUCCCUAUUGUGACCAUUCAUUUGCAAUAUUUAUUAUCAUGAUUUCCCUGAUGAAGGGUUUUUCACAAGUAUGAUAUCAGAGUGGUGAAGUUAAAAUUAUCCUUUCAAAAUUAUUCAAAGGAGGACGAAGGAUAUGUUCUUGUAGACAAAUUUCGAUUUUCGAUGCAUUUCCGUAAAAAAACUUUGGUUUUAGUGAACAUCUGUCUUGGGUUAAGGGGCAUCGUCACUUCCGUUCCAAUGUUUAGCGAGUGGUUGGAAAACUAUGAUGAUAUAUUUCACGAAUUAUUCGGCAAAUUUAAUUCUCAUGAUUGACAGUCAGCACUGCUGUCAUUAGGGAAUUGUGAUUUAAGUACCUACAGAACAAACUUCAUUUCUAGUUUCUCCUGCACAAUGACGAUCACUAAGUCGCUUGAUAAAUAUGAAUAGUGCAGGGAUACAGGCUAUCCCUCUAUCUGGUAAAUGACGUCAUAAAGGCGAUUUUUUUUUCUAAUUGUCGGGUUUUUUUUCCCGUUAAGGACAAACUCGAAAGUGGUCUAUUGUCGAACCACAUUACCGUUCUGUUAUACUCGAAUAUAACAUACGAAGUUCUCACCGGAUUUGUACUUUCCAAAGCAACACGACGGAUGUCAUAUGUGCAUCAGGACCUGCGUUUCCUCCAAUGGCACUUGAAAUCACAUUUGGGGUUUCGCUUCUCUUUUUUUAGAUAAGAUCCUGCGAAAUAAAGUCCGUAUCUUCUAUAAAUUAUAUCUUUUAUUUGUUUCAUAUAACAUUGGCCUCGUAGCUAGAAUCAGGUCUGAUUAUCAAAUAGAUUAUUACCUUAAAACAAAAUUUGUUUUGAUAUUUGUUGAGGCAAUAUAGAGCUUUAUAUUCUUUCUUAAAACAAGCCAAAAUGGCAAGAUAUCGUAUAAUUAUGUCCUUUUUACUGUCAAGUAAACAAUUUUAAACUUCAACUAUAUAAAAAGUUUUUGUGAUUUAGAGAAUCAUUGAAAUGCAAUUGAAUUUAGGGCCAAUUAAAGGUAUAUCAUAGGUAUAUGUUUCCCCGAGAUAGAAUUUUCUUAUACUUUGCCAAAAUGAAGAUUCAACCAUGCACUUUUCAAAAAUAUAUUAAAAAGGAUUGGUUUCCGUGCUAUUUUUCAAGCUUUGAGUAGCUGAAAAUUGGCUUAAUUUGCUUAGAAUGAUCAUAAAAAACACAUUUUUAUGCAUAAAAAGAAAUCAACAAGAUAGAAUUUUGAAAUUAAUUGUGAGAAGAUUGGUUUUAAAAUAUGUUUUAAGAAAACAAAAAGUAAAAAUGGUGUCACCGAAAUUGUUUUCUUGCUACAAGUAGAAAUUAAAAAUUUCCCUAUCAGUCCGGUAUAAAAAAAUUUACUAAAAGAGUUAUCUCCCCUUAAAUGGCUUAGUUGAAAAAAAUGAUUCUUAAACACAAAUGUUUGAUAUUUGUUUAAGUAUUUAGGAUAAUGCAAUAAAUCAGCAAGUUUUCUUCAUGUAAAUAAACCGUCUAAUCAAUAAAAUUGCACAUCUGUCUACUUUGUAGAUUUAGGCAAAUAAAAGUGACUGAUUGUGUACUGCAAUAGUACAAUACAAGAUGGCGGUAUACCAUGCAUCUAUCUUAGCACCAUAUUGAACCUUCUCUUUUACACCGUAUGCAGUUACCUAAAAUAAACAUUUUUAAAUUUCGUAUUUCAAAUGUACUGCCACGCUUCAUCGUCUAGAAUUCAAAAUAAAACCAUACUGUUAAUUUGAUUUGACCUUAAAUGCAUAACUUGCAGAAAUGGCUGUUAAUUCUAACCUUAUUGUUCUUUUCUGCAGGUCAUGAUUUCUCUAAGAGGAUGUAUUAUCUGCACUCUCUGCCUUCUUGUCGUAGAAUUUGCAUUUGGCGAUCUUUCAAAUGCUCCAGUAGACUGUUUUAAGCCGUUUUGUCUAUGUCAAAAGAAGUCGGGCGGAAGUGCUGUGUGUUCCGGGCGAUCUUUACAUUAUAUUCCAAGACUUCCGAAAUAUGUUCGCUCAGUUGCAUUCACGAAUACAAGUAUCAGCGUUAUAGAAAUUUGGAUUGUUUAAUUUAACUUUUAAUCAAAUGGAGAAAAUAAACUUUACUGGUAAUCUUUUACUCAGUAUUGACAAAGACGCGUUUCUAAAUUUGACUUUUCUUGAUACGCUUACUAUAUCACGUGAACCUCGUUUGAAUGUCCCUUCCCUGAAAUCGUCUUUUAUGAGUUUGACGAGGUUAAAGAUUUUAAUUUUUGACUUUAAAUUUAAUUUUUGG
rnacentral:lncRNA from 1 species